AGAGUUUGAUCCUGGCUCAGGAUGAACGCUAGCGACAGGCUUAACACAUGCAAGUCGAGGGGCAGCGGGGGUAGCAAUACCCGCCGGCGACCGGCGCACGGGUGAGUAACGCGUAUGCAACUUGCCUAUCAGAGGGGGAUAACCCGGCGAAAGUCGGACUAAUACCGCAUGAAGCAGGGAUCCCGCAUGGGAAUAUUUGCUAAAGAUUCAUCGCUGAUAGAUAGGCAUGCGUUCCAUUAGGCAGUUGGCGGGGUAACGGCCCACCAAACCGACGAUGGAUAGGGGUUCUGAGAGGAAGGUCCCCCACAUUGGUACUGAGACACGGACCAAACUCCUACGGGAGGCAGCAGUGAGGAAUAUUGGUCAAUGGCCGAGAGGCUGAACCAGCCAAGUCGCGUGAGGGAUGAAGGUUCUAUGGAUCGUAAACCUCUUUUAUAAGGGAAUAAAGUGCGGGACGUGUCCCGUUUUGUAUGUACCUUAUGAAUAAGGAUCGGCUAACUCCGUGCCAGCAGCCGCGGUAAUACGGAGGAUCCGAGCGUUAUCCGGAUUUAUUGGGUUUAAAGGGUGCGUAGGCGGCCUUUUAAGUCAGCGGUGAAAGUCUGUGGCUCAACCAUAGAAUUGCCGUUGAAACUGGGGGGCUUGAGUAUGUUUGAGGCAGGCGGAAUGCGUGGUGUAGCGGUGAAAUGCAUAGAUAUCACGCAGAACCCCGAUUGCGAAGGCAGCCUGCCAAGCCAUGACUGACGCUGAUGCACGAAAGCGUGGGGAUCAAACAGGAUUAGAUACCCUGGUAGUCCACGCAGUAAACGAUGAUCACUAGCUGUUUGCGAUACACUGUAAGCGGCACAGCGAAAGCGUUAAGUGAUCCACCUGGGGAGUACGCCGGCAACGGUGAAACUCAAAGGAAUUGACGGGGGCCCGCACAAGCGGAGGAACAUGUG
rnacentral:rRNA from 1 species